GACGAACGCUGGCGGCAUGCCUAAUACAUGCAAGUCGAACGCUGAAGCACUCUGCUUGCAGAGUGCGGAUGAGUGGCGAACGGGUGAGUAACACGUGGGAAAUCUGCCUAUAAGUGGGGGAUAACAUUCGGAAACGGAUGCUAAUACCGCAUAUAUUCUUGGACCGCCUGGUCCUUGAAAGAAAGACGGCUUUGCUGUCGCUUAUAGAUGAUCCCGCGGCGUAUUAGUUAGUUGGUGGGGUAAAGGCCUACCAAGACAAUGAUACGUAGCCGACCUGAGAGGGUGAUCGGCCACACUGGGACUGAGACACGGCCCAGACUCCUACGGGAGGCAGCAGUAGGGAAUCUUCCACAAUGGGCGAAAGCCUGAUGGAGCAAUGCCGCGUGAAUGAAGAAGGUCUUCGGAUCGUAAAGUUCUGUUAUUAGAGAAGAACAAGUCAAGGAGUAACUGUCUUGACUUUGACGGUACCUAACCAGAAAGUCACGGCUAACUACGUGC
rnacentral:rRNA from 1 species